rnacentral:rRNA from 1 species
UGGGGAAUAUUGGACAAUGGGGGAAACCCUGAUCCAGCAAUGCCGCGUGUGUGAAGAAGGCCUGAGGGUUGUAAAGCACUUUAAUUGGUGAGGAAGGUAUAUAUGUUAAUAGCGUAUGUGCUUGACGUUAGCCAAGGAAUAAGCACCGGCUAACUCUGUGCCAGCAGCCGCGGUAAUACAGAGGGUGCGAGCGUUAAUCGGAAUUAUUGGGCGUAAAGGGCGCGUAGGCGGUUGAACAAGUCAGAUGUGAAAUCCCUGGGCUUAACCUAGGAAUUGCAUAUGAUACUGUUGAGCUAGAGUAUGGUAGAGGGUAGUGGAAUUUCCGGUGUAGCGGUGAAAUGCGUAGAUAUCGGGAGGAACACCAGUGGCGAAGGCGGCUAUCUGGACCAAUACUGACGCU